CAUAAAUAAGAGUGUCAAUUGUUAAAUCAACAACGGGAGUCAAUGUGCACCUACUCCUCAUAUAGGACCUCUGUCCUUAAUGUGCUGUACUAUGCAAAUUAAUGGGGUAGGUGAACUACAACUCAUCUGACAAGUUUGGACACCUGUCUAUGUAGAGCCCAUGAGAUCAGAUAAUCACAAACAAAACCAGAAGUAUAAUCCAUUUGGCCAUGACUAACCCAAUUUGUAAAAUACAAUGGACAGAGACAGAAGAGUGGAAAAGUUGUGGUGAAUCAUCUAAACUCCUUUGUAAUUUACCAAUUUAUUCAAAAUGGUAAAGGAUUCCAGUUCAUAAAUGACCAACUGUCUGUUUCAGCGGAUGAAGUAAGGAUGAAUGUGGCAGGCAAUCAUUAUCUCCUAACAUCCCUACGCUAGGUCUGAUUUGAUGAUUUCCAGCCAGAGCUUCCUGUCCCUGUGCUUAGGAUGUUUUCAUGAAUAAUCCAGGAAAUGCUCUGCACAGCAGCCUCCUCACUACCUGAAAAAAUGAGCUUUUACUUUGAACACCACACAGAUACAGUGAGGGAAACACAAAGAUCAUAUUGAUGAUACAAUGACAUGUGAUUAGGAGGAGCUGGUAUCACCUCAGUAACCACAACGCUUUGACCAGGCACCUGAAAAAUCAACUUUAGGAAGAGAUUAAAGUUGGUCAAGAAGUUCACAGCGCAGAGCAGACACUGGGAUCUGGUAAACCUGUAAAUGAGGAAACCAAGGCUGGGAGAAAUUGUAUCACAUGAUAUGUAUGUAGACAGAUAGAAGUCUUGUGACAACAGACUGCUAUAGAGGACUUUGCUUUCAUGGCCCUGUCUACUAUGGGCACCAGAAUCCUGAUCUUCUUAGUCAUAUAGGAGCCAUCCAACCCAAUUCCACUUAAUUUGCCAAAGAUGACGUAAAAGGACUUUUAACCAGAGAAUUGAAGAAAAAUGUUUUUAUUAAGAUGAUUAAAGCCACAUUUUGUGAAUAGAGAUAUAUCAGAUAUACAUUUAUACUAAACUCUAAAAAAAAGACAGUCAAUGUAUUGUGCUAUGAAACUCCAGGUUUUCUUGCACAAAUGAUAACCCCCAACUAAAGGAGCAAAGGAGUAACUGUGGUCCGCUGAUGGCUGCCAAGCUGUUGCCUGUUUCUGUUGUCAGCAAUGGAGAUGUACAGGCUAGAUUUCAAAGCUUUGUUACUGAUUAUUGGUCAUACUGGCUUGCAGUUGGUUUGUUUGUAUAUGUAUUUGUCACUUUUUUAAAUAUUUCAUUCUCUUUGCUAUGCAUUUCAUAUGCAGUUCUUGGGACUUAGUGCUUUGAUAAACGUUUUUUGAAUGAAGGAGUAAACAUACUUAUGCUGUCAAA